rnacentral:rRNA from 1 species
UACGUAGGUGGCAAGCGUUGUCCGGAUUUACUGGGCGUAAAGAGCGCGCAGGCGGUCGUUCAAGUCGCGUGUGGAAGCCCCCGGUUCAACUGGGGAGGGUCACGCGAUACUGAUCGACUCGAAGGCAGGAGAGGGAAGUGGAAUUCCCGGUGUAGUGGUGAAAUGCGUAGAUAUCGGGAGGAACACCAGUGGCGAAGGCGACUUCCUGGCCUGUUCUUGACGCUGAGGCGCGAAAGCUAGGGGAGCAAACGGG